rnacentral:rRNA from 1 species
AACGAACGCUGGCGGCGUGUUUAAGACAUGCAAGUCGCACGGAACCAUUUGGGUAGUAAUACGAGAAUGGUUCAGUGGCGCACGGGUGAGUAACAUGUGAAUUACAUGCCCUUCAGUGGGGAAUAGCCCAGGGAAACUUGGAUUAAUACCCCAUGGUAUCGCGAGAUUAAAGGUGGCCGCAAGGCUGUCGCUGAAGGAUUGGUUCGCACCCUAUCAGCUGGUUGGCGAGGUAACGGCUCACCAAGGCUACGACGGGUACCUGGUCUGCGAGGACGAUCAGGCACACUAGAACUGAUACACGGUCCAGACACCUACGGGUGGGAGCCGUCGAGAAUAAUUCACAAUGGGGGCAACCCUGAUGGUGCAACGCCGCGUGGAGGAUGACGGUGUUCGGAUUGUAAACUCCUGUCAUCCGGGAGUAAGACCUGGGAGUUAACAGCUCACAGGGUUGAUAGUACCGGAAGAGGAAGGGACGGCUAACUUCGUGCCAGCAGCCGCAGUAAAAC